UACGUAGGGUGCGAGCGUUGUCCGGAAUUAUUGGGCGUAAAGAGCUUGUAGGUGGUUUGUCGCGUCUGCUGUGAAAAUCCGAGGCUCAACCUCGGACUUGCAGUGGGUACGGGCAGACUAGAGUGUGGUAGGGGGAGACUGGAAUUCCCGGUGUAGAGGUGAAAUUCGUAGAUAUCGGGAGGAACACCAGUGGCGAAGGCGGCGAUCUGGGCAGAUACUGACGCUGAGGUGCGAAAAGCGUGGGGGAGCAAACAGG
rnacentral:rRNA from 1 species